GCCGGGUGCGGUGGCGCAUGCCUGUAAUCCCAGUGGCUUGGGAGGCUGAUUUAGGAGGAUCGCAAAUUCAAAGCCAGCCUCAGCAAAAGUGAGGCACUAAGCAACUCAGAGAGACCCUGUCUCUA
rnacentral:sRNA from 1 species